UCGAGCGGAACGAUCCUAGCUUGCUAGGAGGCGUCGAGCGGCGGACGGGUGAGUAAUGCAUAGGAAUCUGCCCGGUAGUGGGGGAUAACCUGGGGAAACCCAGGCUAAUACCGCAUACGCCCUACGGGGGAAAGCAGGGGAUCUUCGGACCUUGCGCUAUCGGAUGAGCCUAUGUCGGAUUAGCUAGUUGGUGAGGUAACGGCUCACCAAGGCUGCGAUCCGUAGCUGGUCUGAGAGGAUGAUCAGCCACAUCGGGACUGAGACACGGCCCGAACUCCUACGGGAGGCAGCAGUGGGGAAUAUUGGACAAUGGGCGAAAGCCUGAUCCAGCCAUGCCGCGUGUGUGAAGAAGGCCUUCGGGUUGUAAAGCACUUUCAGUGAGGAAGAAAGCCUUGAGGUUAAUACCCUCGAGGGAGGACAUCACUCACAGAAGAAGCACCGGCUAACUCCGUGCCAGCAGCCGCGGUAAUACGGAGGGUGCGAGCGUUAAUCGGAAUUACUGGGCGUAAAGCGCGCGUAGGCGGCUUGAUAAGCCGGUUGUGAAAGCCCCGGGCUCAACCUGGGAACGGCAUCCGGAACUGUCAGGCUAGAGUGCAGGAGAGGAAGGUAGAAUUCCCGGUGUAGCGGUGAAAUGCGUAGAGAUCGGGAGGAAUACCAGUGGCGAAGGCGGCCUUCUGGACUGACACUGACGCUGAGGUGCGAAAGCGUGGGUAGCAAACAGGAUUAGAUACCCUGGUAGUCCACGCCGUAUACGAUGUCGACUAGCCGUUGGGCUCCUUGAGAGCUUUGUGGCGCAGUUAACGCGAUAAGUCGACCGCCUGGGGAGUACGGCCGCAGGGUUAAGACUCAUAUGAAUUGACGGGGGCCCGCACAAGCGGUGGAGCAUGUGGUUUAAUUCGAUGCAACGCGAAGAACCUUACCUACCCUUGA
rnacentral:rRNA from 1 species